GCUAAGCUUACUUGCGUAUUAGUGGCCCUGACUAAUAGCAGGCUAGUAAAACGAUGAUUCUCCCUGUUUUUCUUCUGUGGCUACACUGAGUAUUAAUCUAUUCUGAAGUAUUCUAGCACGUUGUACGGCUUUUACUUGGCUUUUUGUGGAUAAACGCAUGAGCAUUGGAGAUGCUGGUAAGGAGUUUUUAGGGGUUUUUCUUUACAUUUCAGACAGAGUCAGGCUACCCGUUCUCGUUUCUGUGUACUAAGCUAUCAGGCCUUGUAAUUAUUGUACAGACAUGAGAGUACUAUCAGUCUUUCUAAUUCUUGUUAUGACAGCAAAUAAGAAAAAUAUCAAGCUACUUCUUUAAAUAUAAUCCUUACUUUUGAUUCCUACUUGUAUCAUAUUCCAAACUGGCAGGCAAACUGUAUAUCGGAGCUCUCUGCUUCUGUAGAACAUGCAUCACCAAUGUUUAGACUAAAAAGGCACAUUUCAAGAUUUUCUUUGAUUACUCGUUAAUUUCUGAAUUUUUUUUUUUAAUAGUGAUUGCUUGUCUUAUGUAAUGAUGUGUUUAUGUAUUGGGGUUGCCUAUGAUUAUGGGGAGGAAUGCACUCACACAUGGAGACAGAAUAUCAAGAGGAACACAGCCUCAAGUAACAGUGGUGAGAGCAUGCUUUGUUGAAGAUGGAUAGCACUACCUAGAUACACAGGGGACCGACUGCACUGUGGAGAAGAAAGCCAAAUCCUAAUUCUGGCAGUGUCAGCUCAGUGAUACAACUAAUGCCCAGAGCAGGUUCUCUUCUCACGCAGUUAAAGCUUUGUCUUGGCAGAACAGUCACCACGACACCCAUAAUCACUGAAGAACUCCCUCUUGGGCAUUAUUGCAAUAAUAA
ensembl:lncRNA